CUACGGGUGGCUCCAGUGGGGAAUAUUGCACAAUGGGCGCAAGCCUGAUGCAGCCAUGCCGCGUGUAUGAAGAAGGCCUUCGAGUUGUAAAGUACUUUCAGCGGGGAGGAAGGGAGUAAAGUUAAUACCUUUGCUCAUUGACGUUACCCGCAGAAGAAGCACCGGCUAACUCCGUGCCAGCAGCCGCGGUAAUACGGAGGGUGCAAGCGUUAAUCGGAAUUACUGGGCGUAAAGCGCACGCAGGCGGUUUGUUAAGUCAGAUGUGAAAUCCCCGGGCUCAACCUGGGAACUGCAUCUGAUACUGGCAAGCUUGAGUCUCGUAGAGGGGGGUAGAAUUCCAGGUGUAGCGGUGAGAUGCGUAGAGAUCUGGAGGAAUACCGGUGGCGAAGGCGGCCCCCUGGACGAAGACUGACGCUCAGGUGCGAAAGCGUGGGGAGCAAACAGGAUUAGAUACCCCUGUAGUC
rnacentral:rRNA from 1 species